GACGAACCGCGCGACCGUUGUUCGGAAUCACUGGGCUUAAAGGGCGCGUAGGCGGGCUGCCGCGUCCGGGGUGAAAUCCCACGGCUCAACCGUGGAACGGCCUCGGAUACGGGCGGCCUCGAGGGGGGUAGGGGCAUCUGGAACUGUGAGUGGAGCGGUGAAAUGCGUUGAUAUUCACAGGAACUCCGGUGGCGAAGGCGAGGUGCUGGACCCCAUCUGACGCUGAGGCGCGAAAGCCAGGGGAGCAAACGGG
rnacentral:rRNA from 1 species